GGGCUUCUAAGCAGCCCCAUUUCAUACCCACUUUGUCUAUAUUCGAAAAGAUUCUAAGGAAGCUUGGAAAUAUGGGAUGUUUUGAUUUAAUGAAGGGGGUAUUGGAUGAUAUGAAGAGAUUGAAGAUUGAAUUAGUUGAAGGUACUUUCUUUAUCUUUAUUGAAAGUUAUGCGAAAUUUGAGUUGUAUAAUGAAGCUAUUAAGGUUCUUGAUAUGAUGUAGAAUGAGUUUUGUGUAAUGGCUGGUACUUUUAAUUAUAAUUAGUUGUUGAAUGUUCUUGUUGAUGGGAAUAAGUUUA
rnacentral:misc_RNA from 1 species